UACAGAGGGUGCAAGCGUUAAUCGGAAUUACUGGGCGUAAAGCGUGCGUAGACGGUAGCGUAAGUCGGGUGUGAAAGCCCCGGGCUCAACCUGGGAAUUGCAUUCGAGACUGCUCUGCUAGGGUGCGGAAGAGGGAAGCGGAAUUUCCGGUGUAGCGGUGAAAUGACGUAGAUAUCGGAAGGAACACCAGUGGCGAAAGCGGCUUCCUGGUCCAGCACCGACGUCAGGCACGAAAGCGUGGGGAGCAAACAGG
rnacentral:rRNA from 1 species